rnacentral:rRNA from 1 species
GGCGGCGCGCCAAACACAUGCAAGACGAACGAGCGAGAGAGAGCUUGCUUUCUCGAGCGAGUGGCGAACGGGUGAGUAACGCGUGAGGAACCUGCCUCAAAGAGGGGGACAACAGUUGGAAACGACUGCUAAUACCGCAUAAGCCCACGGUGCCGCAUGGCACAGAGGGAAAAGGAGCAAUCCGCUUUGAGAUGGCCUCGCGUCCGAUUAGCUAGUUGGUGAGGUAACGGCCCACCAAGGCGACGAUCGGUAGCCGGACUGAGAGGUUGAACGGCCACAUUGGGACUGAGACACGGCCCAGACUCCUACGGGAGGCAGCAGUGGGGAAUAUUGCACAAUGGGGGAAACCCUGAUGCAGCGACGCCGCGUGGAGGAAGAAGGUCUUCGGAUUGUAAACUCCUGUUGUUGGGGAAGAUAAUGACGGUACCCAACAAGGAAGUGACGGCUAACUACGUGCCAGCAGCCGCGGUAAAACGUAGGUCACAAGCGUUGUCCGGAAUUACUGGGUGUAAAGGGAGCGCAGGUGGGAAGACAAGUUGGAAGUGAAAUCUAUGGGCUCAACCCAUAAACUGCUUUCAAAACUGUUUUUCUUGAGUAGUGCAGAGGUAGGCGGAAUUCCCGGUGUAGCGGUGGAAUGCGUAGAUAUCGGGAGGAACACCAGUGGCGAAGGCGGCCUACUGGGCACCAACUGACGCUGAGGCUCGAAUGUGUGGGUCGCCACAAAGAUUAGAUACCCUGGUAGUCCACACCGUAAACGAUGAUUACGAGGUGUUGGAGGAUUGACCCCUUCAGUGCCGCAGUUAACACAAUAAGUAAUCCACCUGGGGAGUACGACCGCAAGGUUGAAACUCAAAGGAAUUGACGGGGGCCCGCACAAGCAGUGGAGUAUGUGGUUUAAUUCGACGCAACGCGAAGAACCUUACCAAGUCUUGACAUCCCUUGACAGGCAUAGAAAUAUGUUUUCUCUUCGGAGCAAGGAGACAGGUGGUGCAUGGUUGUCGUCAGCUCGUGUCGUGAGAUGUUGGGUUAAGUCCCGCAACGAGCGCAACCCUUAUGGUCAGUUACUACGCAAGAGGACUCUGGCCAGACUGCCGUUGACAAAACGGAGGAAGGUGGGGAUGACGUCAAAUCAUCAUGCCCUUUAUGACUUGGGCUACACACGUACUACAAUGGCGUUAAACAAAGAGAAGCAAGACCGCGAGGUGGAGCAAAACUCAGAAACAACGUCCCAGUUCGGACUGCAGGCUGCAACUCGCCUGCACGAAGUCGGAAUUGCUAGUAAUCGUGGAUCAGCAUGCCACGGUGAAUACGUUCCCGGGCCUUGCACA